rfam:Ktedonobacter racemifer DSM 44963 Krac_Contig203, whole genome shotgun sequence.
GAGAGCUUCAUGCAUCGAAAGGGUGCACGUUAAGUUCGGAGGGGAGGGGUUGAUGCUCCCGAGUAAUCGGGACUUGGCCUCUUACCCUAC